rnacentral:rRNA from 1 species
CCUACGGGUGGCAGCAGUGGGGGAUAUUGCACAAUGGGGGGAACCCUGAUGCAGCGACGCCGCGUGUGGGAAGACGGUCCUCUGGAUUGUAAACCACUGUCGCCAGGGACGAAAAUGACGGUCCCUGGGGAGGAAGCUCCGGCUAACUACGUGCCAGCAGGCGCGGUAAUACGUAGGGAGCGAGCGUUGUCCGGAAGUACUGGGUGUAAAGGGCGCGUAGGCGGGGAUGCAAGUUGGGUGUCAAAACUCCCGGCUCAACUGGUAGUCGCACUCAAAACUGCAGCUCUUGAGUGAAGUAGAGGCAGGCGGAAUUCCUAGUGUAGCGGUGAAAUGCGUAGAUAUUAGGAGGAACACCAGUGGCGAAGGCAGCCUGCUGGGCUUUUACUGACGCUGAGGCUCGAAAGUGUGGGGAGCAAACAGGAUUAGAUACCCUUGUAGUC